rnacentral:rRNA from 1 species
AGAGUUUGAUCAUGGCUCAGAGCGAACGUUAGCGGCGCGCCUAACACAUGCAAGUCGCACGAGAAAGGGCUUCGGCCCCGGUAAAGUGGCGCACGGGUGCGUAACACGUAGGUAAUCUUCCCUCGGGCGGGGGAUAACGAUCCGAAAGGGUCGCUAAUACCGCAUGAGACCACGACCGGUUCGCCGGAUGUGGUUAAAGCUGGCCUCUUCAUGAAAGCUAGCACCUGAGAAUGAGCCUGCGGCCCAUCAGCUAGUUGGUAGGGUAACGGCCUACCAAGGCGAAGACGGGUAGCUGGUCUGAGAGGAUGAUCAGCCACACUGGCACUGAAACACGGGCCAGACUCCUACGGGAGGCAGCAGUGGGGAAUAUUGGUCAAUGGGCGCAAGCCUGAACCAGCGACGCCGCGUGAGUGAUGAAGGCCUUCGGGUUGUAAAGCUCUGUGGGGAGGGAAGAAAACGUUUCGGGCGAAUAGGCCGAGACCUUGACGGUACCUCCUUAGCAAGCACCGGCUAACUCUGUGCCAGCAGCCGCGGUAAGACAGAGGGUGCGAACGUUGCUCGGAAUUACUGGGCGUAAAGCGCGUGUAGGCGGAUUGGCAAGUCGGGCGUGAAAUCCCUGGGCUCAACCCAGGAACUGCACUCGAAACUGCCAGUCUUGAGGAAUGGAGAGGGAAGCGGAAUUCCUGGUGUAGAGGUGAAAUUCGUAGAUAUCAGGAGGAACACCGGUGGCGAAGGCGGCUUCCUGGACAUUUACUGACGCUGAGACGCGAAAGCGUGGGGAGCAAACAGGAUUAGAUACCCUGGUAGUCCACGCCGUAAACGAUGAGUGCUAGGUGUCGCGGGCAUUGACCCCUGCGGUGCCGUAGCUAACGCAUUAAGCACUCCGCCUGGGAAGUACGGCCGCAAGGCUAAAACUCAAAGGAAUUGACGG